GAUCAUGUGUGUUCUAUCCUGAUCUAAGAGGAGGGUAUCUAAGUUCAAGAGCAAGCAAGGGAAAUCAAAUUACAUCUCCAGAAGUUGAGAAAAUCACAGUAGAGACAGCCAAAGGAGUCACUAGAACUGAAGUUCCAUUGUGUCCUUAAAGGUGAUGUGAAAGUUGUGACAGCAGAAUGAAUGGUGAGAAAGCAUAUUGUCUGGCCAAAGACUAGUCUUGUAAAAUCCACUGACACAGCCUCGGGAUCUGGUCUCCAUCUGAAAAACCAGAGUUAUGUAUCCAAGAAAGUUCCAAAAAUCUGUGUCCAUAGGCCUCUAAAGAUCCAACCAAUCACCAGAGUCUUAAAGAUGUUGAUAAUUGCUAUUUGUAGCGCAACUUUUAAUUAAUACCAUUUCUCCUGGACUCCAGUUAAAC